rnacentral:rRNA from 1 species
AGUCGAACGGUGAACUUGGGAGCUUGCUCCUGGGGGAUCAGUGGCGAACGGGUGAGUAACACGUGAGCAAUCUGCCCUUGACUCUGGGAUAAGCGUUGGAAACGACGUCUAAUACCGGAUACGAACUUCCCCGGCAUCGGGAGGAGUUGGAAAGAAUUUUGGUCAAGGAUGAGCUCGCGGCCUAUCAGCUUGUUGGUGAGGUAAUGGCUCACCAAGGCGACGACGGGUAGCCGGCCUGAGAGGGUGACCGGCCACACUGGGACUGAGACACGGCCCAGACUCCUACGGGAGGCAGCAGUGGGGAAUAUUGCACAAUGGGCGCAAGCCUGAUGCAGCAACGCCGCGUGAGGGACGACGGCCUUCGGGUUGUAAACCUCUUUUAGCAGGGAAGAAGCGAAAGUGACGGUACCUGCAGAAAAAGCACCGGCUAACUACGUGCCAGCAGCCGCGGUAAUACGUAGGGUGCAAGCGUUGUCCGGAAUUAUUGGGCGUAAAGAGCUCGUAGGCGGUUUGUCGCGUCUGCUGUGAAAUCCCGAGGCUCAACCUCGGGCCUGCAGUGGGUACGGGCAGACUAGAGUGCGGUAGGGGAGAUUGGAAUUCCUGGUGUAGCGGUGGAAUGCGCAGAUAUCAGGAGGAACACCGAUGGCGAAGGCAGAUCUCUGGGCCGUAACUGACGCUGAGGAGCGAAAGCGUGGGGAGCGAACAGGAUUAGAUACCCUGGUAGUCCACGCCGUAAACGUUGGGAACUAGAUGUGGGGACCAUUCCACGGUCUCCGUGUCGCAGCUAACGCAUUAAGUUCCCCGCCUGGGGAGUACGGCCGCAAGGCUAAA